UCCCUGCUGGCUCAGACGGUAGAGAAUCUGCCUGAAAUGUGGGAGACCCAGGUUUGAUCCCUGGGUUGAGAA
rnacentral:tRNA from 1 species